GUUCUCAUUUCAGCAACACAUAUACUACAACUGGAACGACACAGAGAAGAUUAGCAUGGCCCCUGCACAAGGAUGACACGCAAAUUUGUGAAGCGUUCCAUAUUUUU
ensembl:snRNA U6 U6 spliceosomal RNA